ACCUGGGUGGCUCAGUCGGUUGAGCGUCUGACUUCAGCUCAGGUCAUGAUCUCACAGUUCGUGGGUUCGAGCCCCGCGUCGGGCU
rnacentral:tRNA from 1 species